UACUCGAGUGGCGAACGGGUGAGUAACACGUGGGUGAUCUGCCCUGCACUCUGGGAUAAACCUGGGAAACUGGGUCUAAUACCGGAUAGGACCAUGCUUUAGUGUGUGUGGUGGAAAGUUUUUUCGGUGUAGGAUGAGCCCGCGGCCUAUCAGCUUGUUGGUGGGGUAAUGGCCUACCAAGGCGGCGACGGGUAGCCGGACUGAGAGGUUGGUGGCCACAUUGGGACUGAGAUACGGCCCAG
rnacentral:rRNA from 1 species